rnacentral:rRNA from 1 species
GUGCCAGCCGCCGCGGUACUACCGGUAGCCCGAGUGAUGGCCGAUCUUAUUGGGCCUAAAGCGUCCGUAGCUGGGUCUGAAAGUCCAUCGGGAAAUCCACUCGCUCAACGAGUGGCCGUCCGGUGGAAACUCCACACCUUGGGACCGGAAGGCUCGAAGGGUACGUCCGGGGUAGGAGUGAAAUCCCGUAAUCCUGGACGGACCGCCGAUGGCGAAAGCACGUCGCGAGAACGGAUCCGACAGUGAGGGACGAAAGCCAGGGUCUCGAACCGGAUUAGAUACCCGGGUAGUCC